ACGAACGCUGGCGGCGUGGAUAAGACAUGCAAGUCGAACGAGAGAAUUGCUAGCUUGCUAAUAAUUCUCUAGUGGCGCACGGGUGAGUAACACGUGAGUAACCUGCCCCCGAGAGCGGGAUAGCCCUGGGAAACUGGGAUUAAUACCGCAUAGUAUCGAAAGAUUAAAGCAGCAAUGCGCUUGGGGAUGGGCUCGCGGCCUAUUAGUUAGUUGGUGAGGUAACGGCUCACCAAGGCGAUGACGGGUAGCCGGUCUGAGAGGAUGUCCGGCCACACUGGAACUGAGACACGGUCCAGACACCUACGGGUGGCAGCAGUCGAGAAUCAUUCACAAUGGGGGAAACCCUGAUGGUGCGACGCCGCGUGGGGGAAUGAAGGUCUUCGGAUUGUAAACCCCUGUCAUGUGGGAGCAAAUUAAAAAGAUAGUACCACAAGAGGAAGAGACGGCUAACUCUGUGCCAGCAGCCGCGGUAAUACAGAGGUCUCAAGCGUUGUUCGGAAUCACUGGGCGUAAAGCGUGCGUAGGCUGUUUCGUAAGUCGUGUGUGAAAGGCGCGGGCUCAACCCGCGGACGGCACAUGAUACUGCGAGACUAGAGUAAUGGAGGGGGAACCGGAAUUCUCGGUGUAGCAGUGAAAUGCGUAGAUAUCGAGAGGAACACUCGUGGCGAAGGCGGGUUCCUGGACAUUAACUGACGCUGAGGCACGAAGGCCAGGGGAGCGAAAGGGAUUAGAUACCCCUGUAGUCCUGGCAGUAAACGGUGCACGCUUGGUGUGCGGGGAAUCGACCCCCUGCGUGCCGGAGCUAACGCGUUAAGCGUGCCGCCUGGGGAGUACGGUCGCAAGAUUAAAACUCAAAGAAAUUGACGGGGACCCGCACAAGCGGUGGAGUAUGUGGCUUAAUUCGAUGCAACGCGAAGAACCUUACCUGGGCUUGACAUGUAAUGAACAACAUGUGAAAGCAUGCGACUCUUCGGAGGCGUUACACAGGUGCUGCAUGGCCGUCGUCAGCUCGUGUCGUGAGAUGUUUGGUUAAGUCCAGCAACGAGCGCAACCCCUGUUGCCUGUUACCAGCACGUGAAGGUGGGGACUCUGGCGAGACUGCCCAGAUCAACUGGGAGGAAGGUGGGGACGACGUCAGGUCAGUAUGGCCCUUAUGCCCAGGGCUGCACACGUACUACAAUGCCCAGUACAGAGGGGGCCGAAGCCGCGAGGCGGAGGAAAUCCUAAAAACUGGGCCCAGUUCGGACUGUAGGCUGCAACCCGCCUACACGAAGCCGGAAUCGCUAGUAAUGGCGCAUCAGCUACGGCGCCGUGAAUACGUUCCCGGGUCUUGUACACACCGCCCGUCACAUCAUGGAAGCCGGUCGCACCCGAAGUAUCUGAAGCCAACCGCAAGGAGGCAGGGUCCUAAGGUGAGACUGGUAACUGGGAUG
rnacentral:rRNA from 1 species